AACAGUGGAGGUUGUAAUCACAUCAUUUCCGGCCGCAUUAAUCAUGACCAAAUGAAGAACAGCAAACAUUUUUAUAAAGUCAUAAGAGCCAAAGUCUCUUUUUCAGACCAUUUAAGAAUUAUUACCAAGUUUGUUCUAUAUUAUACAGAUGGAAACAUGUAUUUAAGCCUGAAAGCUUCACAACUGAUGGAUGCCGGGUCUUCUGGCUCCACCAUCCACGCCUCCCACUGCUCUGCUCUACUGGAAGUCCUGCCCUCAUCCUUUGAGAAGUAAUCUGCUACAAAGAGACAGGGACAGGCAGUAGAUCUUCAUCUGAGGGCAUCAAGAACCCUGGACCUUUAGAGUUAGAAAGAACUUGCUAGUUUCUCGUCUUACUCAUCUCACUUCACAGAUGGAAACGGCUUCUUUCUGAGAAUAUCCUGCGACUUCAGAAUGAUUACUGUCAUAAAGCACGCAGCCACAGAGGCUGGACAGAGAUCUUCAGCCUUGUGAUGAAGGGAAACUGAAGGGCGCUCCCGAAAGGAUUCUUCUCCUUAACCUAAUUUACAUUCAUCUCCUCAUAAAGACGAUGAAGCAAGACUGAAUUUUAUUUAAUUUUCAUGCCUUGAAAUUAAAUCUCCAUUCCACUCCCUCCGUUUGUCCUGUUUCAUCUUUUGUGUGCUGUACAGCCCUGUUUCUACAGAGACCAUGAGUCAUCCCAGUGGGCGAGGGUCUGUUUCAUCAAGGCCUUAAGGCUGGAGCCGGGCAAGGUAG